UCUUCAGCAAGGUGGUUUAUCACAAAAGACAUCUUCACAGGCAAGUGGUGGAAUUUCUAGGCAAAAUUUGAAUCAGGACAUAUUGACAGGUAAAGCAGGUGCUAUGAUUGUUGUUCAAUCUAAUGUCGCUAACAACAUGGCACUAGACAAAAGGGCCAGGCAGGACGUAUCAGGUCUCAAGGAAGAGUUUUUACCAUGAGUCAACAUGAUACUAAUGAGUCACCAAAUGUAGUCAUGGUUACAUCAUCUAUUUAGCAAAAAGGCUCGUUCUUUAAUUGAUUCAAGUGCUACAUAUUCAUUUAUAUCAUAUGCAUUUGCUAUUUUUGUGGAUCAUUUAUUGAAGCCAUUAAACGGUGAUUCGGUAGUAGCGACCCUUAUAAGAGAUUCACUUUUAGCUAACGGUGUGUAAAAAGAUUGUGUGAUUAGAGUGAAUAAUCAGGAAUUGAAAGCUAAUUUGAUUUCACUUGAUAUUCAUGAUUUUUAUGUUAUAUUGAGCAUGGAUUUUUUGUUGCAAAUGCUUCAAUUGAUUGUUUUUGCAAAGAGACGGUGUUCAAAAAGUCAAAAAAGCUUUAAAAUGUUCUUAGUGGUGAACAGAGAAUAUUACCUUUAUGUACCACAUCUGUAUAACUCAUGUGAUUGACACCUAAAUCUCUAGUCUAAAACUUGGAAAUAUAGUGAUGGUAAGAGAUUUCUCUCAUGAAGGUCUUCCAACGUUAUCUCAGAAUAGGGAAAUUGAGUUUACCAUUGACUUGAUCCUAGGGACUACUCCAAUCUUACAGAUACAUUACAGAAUGGCUCUAGCUGAGUUGAAGGAAUUCAAAGUCCAGUUGCAAGAUUUAUUUGAUAAGGGUUUCAUUAGACUCAGUGUAUCUCCUAGGGAAGCAUCGAUUUAUUUUGUGAAGAAGAAACUUGGUACAAUGAGAUUGUGUAUUGACUACAGGCAGUUGAAUAAAGUGACUAUUCACAGUAAGUAUCUUUUGCCUUGUAUUAUUGAUUUGUUUGAUCAACGUCGACGUUUCACCGUAUUUUCUAAGAUUGAUUUGUGCUCAAGGUACCAUCAACUUAAAAUCAGGGAUGUUGAUGUAUAGAAAAUUGUUUUUAGGUCGCUAUAUGGCCAUUAUGAGUUUUUGAUGAUACCAUUUGUAUUAACUAAUACCCCAGCAGCAUUUAUGGAUCUUAUGAAUAGUAUUCUUCACCCAUAUUCAUAUAGAUCUGUGAUUGUUUUAUUGAUGAUAUAUUGGUUUAUCUUCACAGUAAUGAUCAGCAUGUUGAGCACUUGAGGAUUACUUUGCAGACUUUACAAGAUAAAUAGUUGUAUGCUAAAUUCAUCAAAUGUGAAUUUUAACUUGAUAAAGUUGUACUCCUGGACCAUUCUCUAGAUCCUUAGAAAACUGGAGCAAUAAAAUGGGACCCUAUCUACACAAUGAUUUUUUCUUUAUUUAUUUUUAUUUUUUGGAAUUUAUUAAAAAAAAAGGAAAGAAAACCAAGCUAACGAAAACCUGAGUCGAGCCCUUUUUUUUUAGCAGAGCCAAAAAGCUUAAGACAUUUUUUAUCGUGGCCGUGAUCGAGCCAUGACCCUUAGCUCGGCUAGUUUACAUUCCUGAAAAUAAUAUUUGACUUUGACUAAAUUCAUAAAUUAUUUUAUAAAUGAUAUCCAAACACAGGUCUAAUUUUAGACAUACCCACUAAUUCGGUGUUUUAUAAUAUCAAUAACAAUAAUCUCAAACAAGAGCACACCGAUUAGAUAUGUCUCAUAUCUGGACACUAUUUAUGAACUCUUAAAUCUGAAAAUAAUCGAGGCUUGCUAAUGGUCUUCUUAAUGUUUGAAUUGGUGUAGUUUGUAAUUACACUACAAAUCUGGAUUCCACCAUUGAUGAAUUCUAUGUGCUUCCAUGAAAUUUUUUGAGGGGCUCAAAUUUAUCGUAAGAUAUGCAGAAGGAAUAAGAUGCAUUGGUUCGGAAUCCUUUCCACGUGCAAUUGAGAUGAUGCUCCCUAUCGAAUGCUGAGUAGAAAUAUUGGAAUA
rnacentral:lncRNA from 1 species